rnacentral:rRNA from 1 species
GUCCAGACUCCUACGGGAGGCAGCAGUGGGGAAUAUUGCACAAUGGGGGAAACCCUGAUGCAGCGACGCCGCGUGAGUGAAGAAGUAUUUCGGUAUGUAAAGCUCUAUCAGCAGGGAAGAAAAUGACGGUACCUGACUAAGAAGCCCCGGCUAACUACGUGCCAGCAGCCGCGGUAAUACGUAGGGGGCAAGCGUUAUCCGGAUUUACUGGGUGUAAAGGGAGCGUAGACGGCAUGGCAAGUCAGAUGUGAAAGCCCGGGGCUCAACCCCGGGACUGCAUUUGAAACUGUCAGGCUGGAGUGCAGGAGAGGUAAGUGGAAUUCCUAGUGUAGCGGUGAAAUGCGUAGAUAUUAGGAGGAACACCAGUGGCGAAGGCGGCUUACUGGACUGUAACUGACGUUGAGGCUCGAAAGCGUGGGGAGCAAACAGGAUUAGAUACCCGGGUAU